rnacentral:rRNA from 1 species
UUGCCAGCCCGCUCAGAAACUCAAAGGAAUUGACGGGGGCCCGCACAAGCGGAGGAACAUGUGGUUUAAUUCGAUGAUACGCGAGGAACCUUACCUGGGCUAGAACGCAUUCGGAAUCAGGCCGAAAGGCCUGCGCCAGCGAUGGCCGCUUGCGAGGUGCUGCAUGGUUGUCGUCAGCUCGUGCCGUGAGGUGUCGGGUUAAGUCCCAUAACGAGCGCAACCCCUACUGCUAGUUGCCAGCGGGUCAUGCCGGGGACUCUAGCGGAACUGCCAGCGUAAGCUGCGAGGAAGGUGGGGAUGACGUCAAAUCAGCACGGCCCUUACGUCCAGGGCUACACACGUGUUACAAUGGCCGGUACAGAGGGCAGCCACCCCGCGAGGGGGCGCGAAUCCCGAAAGCCGGUCCCAGUUCGGAUCGGAGUCUGCAACCCGACUCCGUGAAGCUGGAUUCGCUAGUAAUCGCGCAUCAGCCACGGCGCGGUGAAUACGUUCCCGGGCCUU